rnacentral:sRNA from 10 species
UUUUUUCAAAAUAAAAAAUGGAUUAUGGUGUGAAGAGGCUUUCUGGUUUUUAUUAUAGUAUUUCCUUCCCUGAUGAUCAAUCUUUUGCGCAAGCCAAAGCAAACAGUUGGGAUUGGUUAGGUGAAUGGUUUAAUAAUCUCAAACCAUGGUCUUCUAAUUUGGUGCCUCAAGAACGACGCUGUUGGUUGUCAAUUACAGGGGUUCCGGUGCUCCCUUGGAAUAAUAGCACUUUUCAUUGAAUUGGAAGUCUUUGGGGUACGUUUCACACUCUCGGGGAGGAGUCAUCAAAGUCUUGACUCUUUUGAACGAGCUACUAUGCUCAUUACAACAAAGCUAGCUGAGACAAUUUAGAAAAUAUACAGUUAGCUGUGGGCAAUCAGAUUUUUAGUAUUUAUGUUUGUGAAUUUUCCCCAGAAUGUAUUCUUGAUUGCCCAGGUUGUAUUCCUCCUCUAGAAGAGGAUCCCCUAUCUUCGGGUUCAUCAACCUCCGAUGAUUGGUGUGAAUUGGAGUGCCGCAGUAACCUUCUCUCAAGGACUAUUGUGCAAACAGAGGAUCACCAAGCACAGCAAAGACAUCAUGAUCCGAAUCCGGUGUUAGAAGAGGAACCAUCCAUUGAGCCUAAUCCAUCAUCACCCUUGUCAGACACAGUGUGUUAAGGAACCGUUGGAAAACUGUUAUUCUGAAGAUAAUGGUGUUUCUAAAACUCUACCAGAAAUUUGCUAGAAAAGUUACGUUCUCAGAAGAUAUCUCGAGUGGUUAAGGGCGGAAGAAUGGGCUCUAAAAGGUAUGGGAAACAGAAAAAAAAGGGGAUUAUUAAACAGAACAAGAGAAUUCUUCUCCAUAACACUGAAAGUCCCUUUGCCAACUCUUCUCUCUCUGAUGGGGAUUUUAAGAAUAGAGAUGCAAUAAUUACAAGUGAAGCGAAAAAGUAUUUGGGAUUUGAGUAAACAAUUGGGGUUUUAUUCGCAAGAUUCUGAACAAGAAGUUUUGGACAAAUUGGAAAGGAUGGAAAGGAACAUUGCCUGUAGGAAUCCUUAAAUUCUCAAUUCAGAUGGUUUUCAUUUCAUUGAGAUUCUUGAUUCUGGGAACCUAAUGUAUAUUCUUUUAGUCUCAUCUUUUUUGGAUUUCCAUCUUUUGGAAAGCUUUCUUUGCUUGGGUUUAAUAGCUGCUUUAUGUCUAUUUGGGGAGUCUCUUUCCGUUUCUUCAUGCCGUUUCCCUCUUCAUGGUUCACUGCUAAUAUUCGCGCUAUCAAGUGUUGAGUUGUUUUCUUGAGCAUUGAUUUCCAGGCUAACUCUUGCUUGGAUUUCAUUUUGUGGGGCUUGUUGAAUUUUUUGUUGAGUACUUUUCAUGUAUGGGCUCCAUGCAUAAGGCGUUUCUAAGAAUAGGCCUUCCCAUAAUUUUAACUGUUUUUAGUCAAGAAAAAUAAAAUUUAGAUAAAAUUAUCCUUAAUGAAUCCGACCCAUUCGUUAAGGUCCGCGCGUCAACCCGAAACCUAUUAACGGGUCAAGUGUGUUAAUAUGGUCCACAACUCAGUUCUCAUGGACAGAGCGUACAUCUAUUCAGAAGCAAUUUUGUCAAAAGCAUUCCUCACUGGUUCAACUUUCGAGCAUUUUCGCAGUGGUAGGAGCAUUUUGAAGUGGUUAUUAUUCACAUAAAGGGUUUUCACAUAUUGAGCAGUGAGAGGAAGUUGACAUUACGCAGAGAAAGAUGGCCAACACAGGAACAGAGCAGGAUAAUGUGGAGUCUUUGCUUUAUGUGUCGAGGCAUUAGUGGGGGUUCAAUGUUGGCAUUAACAUCCACUGUAAGUGGUCACAACUGCACAUGAUACGUGAGAUGCUGUGUAAAGUAAACGAGUUGUAAAACUUUAAGAGAACAUGCUUCGGGCAUAUGAUGGAUGUCGAAUCGGAGAAGAGUUUAUUCUGCGCCAGUCUCAUGCACAACCUAAUGUUGCGCAGAAUCAACGAACUUGAUGCCAUCGAGGGUAAGUUAUGGUUUGCAAUAGGGAAAACAAAGGCCCGAUUUUUGAAGAGGGAGUUCUGUCUGGUGACAGGACUAAAGUUUGGUGCCCUGCCAACCCUUAUUGUGAAUCCCUAUGAGGCCUUCCCUGGAGGAAUUCGCCUAUGAUAUUGGGGACUGGGGAACAAGGUGAAGAUACAACAGGUUUUAGAUACGUUCAAGGGAGGGCAGUUUCAACAAGAGGGAGACGAGACAAAGAUGCCCCUCGUCUUGAUCGCAUUUAAUGUUUUAUUCGGUCAAGACUACAGAUGAUCAGUGAUUCCAUGGUUGUUGUCGCUAGUUGAGAACAUCGACGAGUGGAAUGCGUUCCCAUGGGGCACAUAUGUUUAGAGUUUGACCGUCGAUUAUUUGAUGUGGGGUUUCAAACCUCUUGCUGUGGGCGUACUAGAGAAGAAACGCUACCACCUCUACGGAUUUAUAUGGGUGUUUCAGUUUUGGGCGUUGGAAGCAAUUCUUGAAAUCAGAAGCUUGUUUGGAAGGCAGCUCCAGUCUGGAUAGCUUUGGCCAAGAAUGCUGAAAUGACAUUGUGACUAGAGGCCUAUAGGCUUCCACGCCAAUAUUGCAAGUUUAGAGAGAGAGGGCAAGUUGUGUGCAGUGAGGACGUUGGAGCCAACUGUAGAAGAGAUGUUGACCACAUAUUGGGCCGACAUUGACUUCAAUAUCUUCGAGGGGCAACAAUACGUUCCAUUAUGGAAGUUGGAGGGUUAAUCAGAAUUUGGUCCCCAAUAAAAGAGGAAGAUAAUGGACCAUAAAGGGAAAAGUACGAUAAGAUGAGUUGUUAAGCGGAGACGCACUGCGGACGAAGAGGUCUAUUCCCAGUUUGCUGCUACUCGAUCGCAAGUGCUGCUGAGGUGCCUGAUUCUCCUCAUGCAGCUUUUCAUGCUGCUUCUCCUGCUGUUUCUCCUACUGCUGCUACUACUGUGACUCCUCACGUUGUUCCUCAUCUUGCUUUUGCUGUUACCCCUCAUCGUCAAGCGCACAACCCGUCGCUGCGUCCGUAAAUGAUUACGAGCAUUAAGCGAGAGCUGCAACAUAUGCAAACACAGUGGAAGAAAGACCUACAGUCAUUGUAGACAGAUAUGCAGAUACAGAUGCAUGCAAUGCAGUUGGAGAUCCAACGGGUGAUGUAGAUGCAGAUGCAGUCACUGUAUCAGCAUGUCCAGUAGUCACUGCAAGGGUUGGAGGAUUGGAUUGUUGAUCGGCUGAUCGACUGUUAUGAGGUUGAUCGAUGGGUGAAGAGGAUGGUGCAUGUGAGAAAGAGGGUAGAGGUAUUGGGGUUGAUCUUGACGAUGUAGGUGGCAUAAAUCAGUCAAUUGCAUUUGCUCGAAGCUCACCUCCCAUUGGCCCGAUCGAACAUCAUCCUGUUCCUAUCCUAUCUCCACUAGAGGCAGCCCAGCAUUCUCAGCGCACACCUUCUCAUGAGGCUCCACCUCUUGCUGAGGUCGAAGAGGCACCUCAUCUUGCGAGUAGUCGAACUAUAACUACCCCACGUCCUGCUCUUGUCCCAACUCCACUAGAGGCCCCCCCGCAUGGUGAGAUCACACCUUUUUCUGAGGCUCCACCUCGACCUUAGGUCGAAAAUUCAUGUGUGAGCUUAGCCAACAAAUACCUUCGAAGCCCAUACGUUAACCCGCUAUUAGUCCAACGCAAAGCAAAAGAUGAUUUGAAGGACAAAUAUGACUCUUUCAUGAAAAACGAGCAAGCCAAGUAAAAUGAUAACAGUACACGAUAUUAGGGUUAACGGUUCUAGGGUAUUUAUUCCAUAUAUCUUUUGACGUGGGUAUUAUAAAUAUGCAGGGUUAACAUUCUGGGAAUUGAAGGACAGAAGGGCCCUAAUUUUUUUCGGUGAUUGGAGACGCCGACUGAGUUGUUAGACAACCAACACAUUGACCCAUGCAUCAGUGUGUUGUGUAAGCGGGCGCGCGAGCACCAUCGACAACUCUACAAGCAGAGAAUAUGCAUCAUUGACAUCAGCUUCUAUCUAAUUUUGCUAGGACUGACCUAAGGAAUGAAUCCUCCCCCGACCGAUAAGACAUUCCAGGUGAGUUAGGCGGUAAUGCCAGACCAUGUGCUUGAGUAUGUGAGGGGUGGGAGUCCUCUGUGGGGUUUGCCAUGGCAUGAGGUUGACUUAAUUCUCGUACCUUGCUAUUUUGACGGCCACUAGGUGGUAGUCCACAUCAACUUGGUGAGUUGGAGUAUGAUGUUAAUGGACUCAUCGUACAGUCGGGCAGAAGCAAUGAAGUCAGGCUUGCGUGAUAAGCAGAUGAGUCCACUAACAUCAUUGUUUCCCAUUAUAUGCCACAAGGCCGGGUACUUUGCCAGCUCACGUCGUCAAAAGCGACCUUUGACACGGAUGAGAUAUAAGUUAAAUGCAAAGACCCCGAUACAGAAAGAUUCGCACAGUUGCAAGGAUUGGGUUAUCGCCUCCUUGCAGUGGUUGAUGUCUUCGGAGGGUCAUACACUCAAGACAAACGCCAUAGACGGCAUUCGAAAAAUAUUUGCCCUUGAGAUUUUUGCAAAUAGCAUCAAUAGUGAAAUUUUUUAAUUUGUCUAUUCUUUUUCAAUAUGUAAAUAACAUUGUUUUGUAUCAUAUCCAUAUUAUUCUUUCCUAUUA